rfam:Schistosoma mattheei strain Denwood, Zambia genome assembly, scaffold: SMTD_scaffold0005209
AUCCAGUUGGUGAGUCCCGAAUAGGACGAAACGCGCGUCCUGGAU